rnacentral:rRNA from 1 species
UACGGGGGGGGCAAGCGUUGUUCGGAAUUACUGGGCGUAAAGGGCGCGUAGGCGGUUUGCUAAGUUGGAUGUGAAAACUCUGGGCUUAACCCAGAGCCUGCAUCCAAAACUGGCAAACUUGAGUACUGGAGGGGAAAGCGGAAUUCCUGGUGUAGCGGUGAAAUGCGUAGAUAUCAGGAAGAACACCCGUGGCGAAGGCGACUACCUGGCCAAGAGCUGACGCUGAGGCACGAGAGCGUGGGGAGCGAACCGG